UGAGGAAUAUUGGUCAAUGGGCGAGAGCCUGAACCAGCCAAGUAGCGUGCAGGACGACGGCCCUAUGGGUUGUAAACUGCUUUUAUAAGGGAAUAAAGUGAGUCUCGUGAGACUUUUUGCAUGUACCUUAUGAAUAAGGACCGGCUAAUUCCGUGCCAGCAGCCGCGGUAAUACGGAAGGUCCGGGCGUUAUCCGGAUUUAUUGGGUUUAAAGGGAGCGUAGGCCGGAGAUUAAGCGUGUUGUGAAAUGUAGUGGCUCAACCUCUGCACUGCAGCGCGAACUGGUCUUCUUGAGUACGCACAACGUGGGCGGAAUUCGUGGUGUAGCGGUGAAAUGCUUAGAUAUCACGAAGAACCCCGAUUGCGAAGGCAGCUUGCCGGAGUGUGACUGACGCUGAAGCUCGAAAGCGCGGGUAUCGAACAGGAUUAGAUACCCUGGUAGU
rnacentral:rRNA from 1 species